rnacentral:tRNA from 1 species
GGAAUGUGGCUCAAGUGGUAGAGUGUUCGCCUGGCAUGCUUUCGGCCUGGGUUCGAUCCUCAGCACCA